AAGUCAAGGAAAACGUCUUGUGAAACUCAUUCACGAAAUUUUGAAACGAUGAUUUAAGCGGGUCCCAAACAUUGUUCGCUACUAACAUACUAUAUAUAUUACUCUAUUUUUCACAAUUACAGAUAACGGCUCUCUUCUUCUUUGUUUUCUUGAUAAGGGUUUUGAAUUUUUGAACGUUUCGAGUUCGAAGACAAGCAAAUGGCUGCGAAUUCACGGGGGGUUGGAGACUGGAAAAUCGAAUGCUGAAGACGGCGGGCACUUUCGAAUCAUACACUGUCUCUGCUCACAUACUCAAUUUCUCAUUCCUCCAAACUUAUAAGGCCUUCCACAGAUUUCAUGGAAAAAGUACAGAAAGACAUCAAUCCUAGCAUGCGUGCAUGUUAAUGUUGAGGUUUUCAAGGAGGUACAGGCUUGUCCCAGACACACUGCAUUUGACAAUUAACUACUAGUCGAUAUUAAUAAGCACCAUUUGUUUAUCAGCAAGGAGCUUCAAUGAGAAAGAAAAGCAGAGGGUAUAGGUGUUUAUCAGCAAGGAGCUUCAAUGAUAUUAAUACUGCAUCAUCUGCCUUUUCUUCUGCUCGUUCCUUGCAAUUCUUGAAUAUAGGUGUUCCUUUUCUCAUCUACCUUUUCUUGAUUAAUUUGUGAAACUUCAGACUUGUGUCCUUUUAGUAUGGUGCUUUAUUUACUCCUACGUGCAAGCCUCAGGAUCAAGAUUAACUCGAUAAAACGAGACCCUUGGUUCGUAUCUUCUCAUAGUGAAAGAAUGGAGAGACAACUUCCUUCGUUAGGUCCUCAUGGUCUUGGGUCCGUUGCUUUGAUAAUGCAUAUAGUUCAUCUUUCUGUUUGAAAUGCAAUACAGUUUGAGUAGAUAUAGUACAGAUCUUGUCAUGUUACUCAAUUUUCGAUUUCAAAAUUUCUGCCUGUACUUCUAUUUGGGAUCAAAUGAGAUAAUGGGUGAUUCAUGUAUUAAGACCUUGAGAACUUGAGUUUUGUGGCUUCCUCUUAGAUCAAGGAGGAUCAUAUAUGAUGAUGGCAAGUUUUGCCGGUUUACUCCUAAAAUGUUGGUAAGCACCAUUUGUCCAUAUGGACCAGACCUCUUAUGUUACUGGGAAGUAAACAUAAGAGAUUGAAGGUCUCCACUCCUACAACUUUAUGACUUAGCAUUGCUAGACUAUCCGCCGGUCUAUUUGCUUCAGAGAAGCAAUGGUUGAUAUUGAAGUCAUCAUCUUCUGGAUCUCUUUUAUUUGGUUGUAUAUUUUCCUUCUUUGUUUUGCUUAAAGAAGGGAAUUUACCAAAAGAAUCUCAUGCUCUAAGAUAUAUGAUAAAAAGAAAGGGGCAGAAAAUAAAAAUAUAUGAUUUAAGCUAAAAAGGUUUGGGUUUAAUGAGCUUCUAGUCCUUUGGCCCACCACAUUAGCAAGCAUUGCCCAUUUAUGAACAACAAAUUCAUUUUUUAACGAUGAUGGAAAUGGAAUUCACCACAUUUGGCUUGUUUCCUCCACUCAUAUGAACGCAAUGGAACUAGUAUAUAAAUAGGCUUCACUUCUCCUUGACUAUCAAAGUCUCGUUCCGGUUCUUAUGUAAAGAAAGAUAAGUGGUGAAGCUUGAGUUCGCUACCAUAUCUAAAACACAAUCAAUUUCAUGACUCACAAAAUCCAGAUUUAAAUUGUCUAUUUAGAUAUUGGUUGAUAGAAGAUAUAACUCGAGAAAAGUACAACUUAAAGUUAUACAAAACUUAAGUUGAAAAAUAGAAAACCAAACCAUAUCGAAUUUUAUUUCAAUAUGACAUUGGAAAAUUAGAAAAAC